AUUGAACGCUGGCGGCAUGCCUUACACAUGCAAGUCGAACGGUAACGCGGGGCAACCUGGCGACGAGUGGCGAACGGGUGAGUAACGCAUCGGAACGUGCCCAAUAGUGGGGGAUAGCCCGGCGAAAGCCGGAUUAAUACCGCAUACGACCUACGGGUGAAAGCAGGGGAUCGCAAGACCUUGCGCUAAUGGAGCGGCCGAUGUCAGAUUAGGUUGUUGGUGGGGUAAAAGCCUACCAAGCCGACGAUCUGUAGCUGGUCUGAGAGGACGACCAGCCACACUGGGACUGAGACACGGCCCAGACUCCUACGGGAGGCAGCAGUGGGGAAUUUUGGACAAUGGGCGAGAGCCUGAUCCAGCCAUGCCGCGUGCGGGAUGAAGGCCUUCGGGUUGUAAACCGCUUUUGUUAGGGAAGAAACGGUUUUGGCUAAUAACCAAGACUACUGACGGUACCGGAAGAAUAAGGACCGGCUAACUACGUGCCAGCAGCCGCCGUAA
rnacentral:rRNA from 1 species